rnacentral:rRNA from 1 species
CAGUAGCCACGGUAAUACGAAGGGGGCUAGCGUUAUUCGGAAUCAUUGGGCUUAAAGCGCGUGUAGGCGGAUGGGAACGUCGGUCGCUGAAAUACCCCGGCUCAACCGGGGAACUGGCAUCGAAACGACCCGUCUCGAGGGGCAUAGGGGGAGCUGGAACUUCCGGUGGAGCGGUGAAAUGCGUUGAGAUCGGAAGGAACGCCCGUGGCGAAAGCGAGCUCCUGGAUGUCUUCUGACGCUGAGACGCGAAAGCUAGGGUAGCGAACGGGAUUAGAUACCCCAGUAGUCCCUGUCUCUUAUA